UACGUAGGGGGCAAGCGUUGUCCGGAAUUAUUGGGCGUAAAGAGCGUGUAGGCGGUCCGGUAAGUCGGCUGUGAAAGUCCAGGGCUCAACCCUGGGAUGCCGGUCGAUACUGCCGGACUAGAGUUCGGAAGAGGCGAGUGGAAUUCCCGGUGUAGCGGUGAAAUGCGCAGAUAUCGGGAGGAACACCUAUGGCGAAGGCAGCUCGCUGGGACGUUACUGACACUGAGGCGCGAAAGCGUGGGGAGCGAACAGG
rnacentral:rRNA from 1 species